UACGUAGGGUCCGAGCGUUGUCCGGAAUUAUUGGGCGUAAAGGGCUCGUAGGCGGUUUGUCGCGUCGGGAGUGAAAACACGGGGCUUAACCCCGUGCCUGCUUCCGAUACGGGCAGACUAGAGGUAUGCAGGGGAGAACGGAAUUCCUGGUGUAGCGGUGAAAUGCGCAGAUAUCAGGAGGAACACCGGUGGCGAAGGCGGUUCUCUGGGCAUUACCUGACGGCUGAGGAGCGAAAGUGUGGGGAGCGAACAGG
rnacentral:rRNA from 1 species